rnacentral:rRNA from 1 species
AUGUUUUUUGCUGGAACCAGCUUUUUGACCUGUUGCAAUUGCCGAGGAUGGUGUUGGAGCGGCUACGAUGGCGACGCCAUGACUUUUUUUGCUGCAUCGUUUUUUUUGUUGGAAACCCCCUUUUCAAUUUUUUGCUGGAACUACAUGUUUUUUUUGUUGGAAUCAUGUUUGUUUUUUUACUGGAACCAUAUCAAUGUGUUUAGCUGGAAACACAUCAUUUUUGCUGGACCACAUUAUUGUUUUGUUGCAACCAUAUUAGUUAUUUGCUGGAAUCAUGUGUUUUGCUUUCAAACUGGCGUUGCUAUUUUUUGCUACAAUCGCCGAGCGCCGACGCCGACGACGAGCAUCGAGCGGGGAACAGCGAGGAGCCAGCGGAGCUUCGAGGUCGCGCGGGCAAGGAUGGAUGGCGUUUUGUUGUAUUUUUUUCUGUGCAUGUGA